CACGCAAUCGAAUUCGGAAUGUAGUUGUGUCUUGUCAUCGCACCAUUACUUCCUUGUUCUGUGACUAAAGCUCUUCUCCACGCCUCGUGUGUCGGGUCGCGCGACGAGAGCGUGCGCCGCGCCGCGCCGAACCACGCCGAGCCGAGCCGAUCCGCGCCAGCCGUCGUCGUGUCGCCGCGCCGCUGCUGCUCUCGCCCGGCUGAAGGAGAGCGGCUCGCCGUCGUCGCUGCUGUCGUGUCCCGAUCGCGCGCUAUAUUUGGCCGAUAACGUGCCGCGCGCGCUCCAACAUAUUGCGCGUCCUGCCGUGCGGGAAUCCUCGCUUGGCGCACCGUAGCCCUCGCCGAGUGGCCCCCGCGGUGGCACGCAGUCCGCAGCUCCGUCGCCGAGUCCGUUGUCGCGAGUGUUUGAGCGUGUGCGCGAGCCAACGAGAGCGAGGUCGUUCGUGUCCGAGCGUCGUAUCUUGACGGUCGCAGGCAGCACCGACGUGCCUCGUCUUCGCGACCAGGCGCUGUCGACGUCGCGCGCGGACUCACGCUUGCUUGGUUGGUUCGUUGGCUGCUUUCGGCAGUGCCUCGCGUAACUUGAUCGAAUAUCGCCCGCGCCCCUCGGCCCCGACGACGAUCCCGCCGCCGAUCGUUGGCGCGUCGCCUCGUCGUGAUACGCUAUUGUCAUUGUCAUCGUGGUGUUACGCGACGGUCGGCCGACGUCGACGUACUUGUACUUGUACUUGAGACACCGCGGAGACACGAGUGUAACGCCGCUGCUGCUGGUAUCGAUAUUCUGUGCUCUCCGAUCUUCGAUGUACGUGUAUCGUGCAGAUCGGCCAGAGUGUCGUGCCAGAUGCCGUUGUCCUAUGACGAAGAUCGUCGGGUAUUCUAUAGGAUGACUGGUGUUUUAUCGGGCCAGGCUGCGAGGUGCUCGCGAUAUCCUGUAUAUUUGCUUGACACGAAGCAAUCUGCGAUAUUGCAGCGUCUAUCUGGAUACGUGUACAUGAAUGGGGACAUUGGUAAGCUCCCACCAGGGGCGGUCUACCCAGCCACCCCUGAAACCCUGGGUCCGAUUGCAGGUGCGAUUGGUGGUGGAGUGCCUAGUUUAGAAUACGGAGUCAUGAACGGUGCGCCCAGCGGAAGUGAGUUGAUUCUCGAUGCAGGUGUUGGCAGCCUAGAACCAACAUCGCAACACGCCAUAGGCAUUGGUGGUGCUGUCGGAUACAGUUCAGUGGAUAUUACUGCUCUGGGUGAUGUGUCUGCUCCACCCGCAUCAAUGGCCGAUUUAUCUGUCCCUGGCAUACCCCUGGAACAACUCAAACAGAUGCUCUCAUCGCAACUCGAGUAUUAUUUCUCCAGGGAGAAUUUAGCCAACGAUACAUAUUUGUUGUCACAAAUGGAUAACGAUCAAUAUGUGCCGAUAUGGACAGUAGCAAAUUUUAACCAAGUAAAGAAGUUAACAAAAGAUAUUAAGCUCAUAACCGAAGUGCUGAGGGAGUCUCCUAACGUGCAAGUGGACGAAGAGGGACAGAAAGUAAGGCCCAAUCACAAACGAUGUAUUGUGAUACUUCGCGAGAUUCCGGAUAACACUCCUCUGGAAGAUGUGAAGAAUUUAUUUUCGGGGGAGGGGUGUCCAAGGUUUAUUUCGUGCGAGUUUGCUCACAAUAGUUCGUGGUAUGUGACGUUUGAAUCCGACGAGGAUGCUCAAAAGGCCUACCGAUUUUUACGUGAGGAGGUUCGGGAAUUUCAGGGAAAGCCGAUAAUGGCGAGAAUCAAAGCUAAACCAAUGAAUAGGCUACCGAUACCAGCAGUGGCUGGUGUAGGUGGUAUAAAAAAUGGCUACAGAACUCCACCUCCUCCUGCCGUUUACGAUCCCAGCAGUUAUACGACUGGACAACAACGUUUCCUUUAUACCAAUGGCACGACCAUGCCUCAAAAUACUAUGCAAGCGUACGCGAACCAAGUCCACGUAUACCAUCAACCAUUCUAUCACGCAGGUAUGAUGUCUUGGGGACCGACUAGUCCCGCCGCAUACUUCGAUAUGGGUGUUUUUAUGAAUGGGAUUACACCGCACAACACGUUCAAACCUCACAACACAAGAUAUAAUCCGCGACACAGAAACAAACAGAGAAACGGCUCCGACCGAGGCUGCUUAAUAGACCCUACCAACCCCAACAACAACAGCAACAAUCACCAUCACCAUCACCACCAUCAUCACCACCACCAUCAGCCGUCGUCCAUGCCGCCGAUGAGCACCCGCAGCUCUCAUCCACCUCUGACCGGUAACAGCGGCGGCGGCGGCAUGCCCUUAAACUCCUCUACGUCUACCUACGCUCCGAGCCUGCCGCCCUCAAAGUCACUAUCUUCUGUCUCCUCCUCGUCGACCUCUUCCUAUCAGUCCGGCACAAAGUUCCACUCCUCGUCCGCGUCGAACGUGGAGCACAUGAAGGGACCUUGCUCCUCGUCCACAUCCUCCUUGUCCUCCGUGCAGGAUCAGGACACAAUUAUAGAGCCGUCGAUACCGUCGAUGACGACGUUUCCCCGCCAUCGUAUCCACCGCAGGACCAAAGAUCAGGACGCGAAGGUAUCCGCCGGGAACAACUCGUUGCCGGCGAUCAAGGAGUCGCUGCCAAUAGGCGGCGGCAGUGGCAGCAACAGCGGCGGUUGCGGUGGUGGUAGUGGUGGUGGCGGCAGCCGCAGCAGCGGCGUUCAAUUCGACUUGGAGGCGGCUGCAUUCCCACCUCUACCUGGCCUCGAUGCCGAUCUCGGCAAAACGUCGGUUGACGUCGGCAGUGCCGGCGGCAUCGAAUCGUCACAGAAUCGAUUGUCCGACGUUGUCAAAGGCACGGCAAAGCUCAAAGCCGCUGUCAAAGACAAAGAUAGCAAUCAGCAGCAACAGCCACCAUCUGCACCCGUAAACGCUGCUAGUAGGUCCGCUAGUCCUGGAGCCGUUGUGGGUGCCGUCGAGGCGCAAGGAAACGCUCUGGGAAACUCUACAACUCCUGCGAACGCCCUUGUCCUUAACCCUGCGCCGGCCAACAAUGAGAAUACGGCUGACGUCACGCUCAGCACCGUCACGCUCACUCCCCCGUCAUCUCCUGAUAAAUGCGAACGCGCACAUGCCGGCAGUGGUGACGUCGGUGACGGCAACUACAACAGCAGCUACGACGACAGCACCUGCGGCGGUAGCGACAGCGGCGGCGGUGGCGGCGGCGGCGGCGACGGCGGCAGCGGCAGCGGCAGCGGCGGCGGCGGCGGUGGUGACAGACGAGGCCGAGCAGGUGACCAGGUGCGAUUGUAACAACGUCGUCGUCGUCGUUCCUUCUCCUACUGCCUCACUCAACUCCCAAUCGCAAACUGGAGUGGCCUCUACCUUCCCUAUAGAUCUUACAAGGCCGAGCUAUGCCCAAGUAGCGCAACAUUGCCGCGAGCUACCUUGUACAAAACACAAAAUGGAUGAGAGGGACAGAAACGUUUAAAAGCGACA
rnacentral:misc_RNA from 1 species